AAAAAAAUUUUAAAAAUUACAAAAAGAGUUCCAUAUUUGUCUACUUAAUUCAUGUAUUAAAUAUUUUUAGAAGGAUAUAUUACUUUGAAUCUAUUUUUAUUUUAUUUUAAAAUAAUCAUUGAAAAUGCCAAAAAUAAUUUAAACUUUAAUUUGUAGUUUUAUUUUAAUAAAAUAGUUUAUUAAAAUCAAUUGAGAGUUAAUUUAUACCUUAUUAUAAGUAUAUUUAAAAAAACAAAAAGAAGCAAAUUAAAAUUUUCAGCUCAUUUAGGUUGUCUAGCCCGUACAAUUUGAGCCCAAAAUAUAACUAGCCCAAUUGAUCCACUAACCCUGCCCUUGUCUACUUCUUCCUUACAAAAAAGACUUACAAAAACCCUACAACCCAACAAACAAGGGUAGCGGUUGCCCGCCUUCUUCUUCAUGGAGAUGAGAAUCCAAAAACCCUACAACCCUUGCUGAACCCUAGGAAAGACCUAAUCCUAGGAUUAACCGGAACCCUUCUCCAAGCACACCCUAGAACCCCUGCUUCUGAAUGACUAAACGACCCACCUCAUCUCCAGCCACCAAGUAAUCGGAAAACGCGUCUCAGAGCAGCCACCAUUAGCGCCGCCAGCCUCUAACCUACCGGCCAUUACCCAUAGCAAUAGCCAAAAUACCAACCUUCAGCAUAACCACCCCCCUUCCCCCUCUCCAAUACCCUCGACACCGUCGGGUCUCAUCACUGGCUGGCCGAAAAACAAGAUCCAAACACCCCACUGCUCCUCCUCUCUUCUUUUAGCCAUAACAACCGCCCACCACCAGCCCUCAAUCGACGAAUUCCCCUUCACCACAACAACCAACGAGCCUCGAUUCUGAACAACCAAGAACAUCCACCCAAACUCCACCCUAAGAUGCUAGAAACACACAGUCAUAAGCAAAAGGAUGGACAUGAUCGAAGGGGAUGGAAAAUCGAUGUGGACAAAAAAUAAAAUAAAUUCUACUUUUCUGGUUCUCAAAUCCGGAAAAGUACACCCCAGUCUCUAAUUUUUGAUCUUCUCAUGGAGUUGACUUGAAUUCGAGAUUGGAGUUCCGUCGAGGUUGAUGCCGAUUCGAGUUUCCAUCCACGUUUCGUUAUAUUUUGAGCUCAAAAUAGUGAUACAAUUUUCUUUUAGCUAUAUUUGAGGUCUAUUCUUCCCUUCCCUUAUUGUUCUUUUACUUAAUAUCAUGAUAUUGAUAAUCCCGUUAAUCUGUUGUUGCCGUAUGUUUGUUGAUUGAGAUGAAUUGGUAUGGAUGUUGUUUUCAUUAAAUUGGUAGUUGAAUUGUUUUUGUAGUAUUGGAAGCCUAAACUAAAAUGAGAUUGCUAAGUAAGAACUCCACUUGGAUCUUAUUGACUUUGAAAUAGUGAAUGUGGUCGCGGGUUCAGUUUUCAAGAAGAUGAGAAUCCUAUUAAUUGAAAUUAAAUAAAAUUGUAAUUUUGGUCGUACUCUAUGCAUGAAAUUGGGCUUUGAAACUAAGUUUAGUUAUGCUUAUUUUGUUUGAAUCAGUAUGAGUAUG
rnacentral:lncRNA from 1 species